rnacentral:rRNA from 1 species
CACUCCUACGGGAGGCAGCAGUGGGGAAUUUUGGACAAUGGGCGAAAGCCUGAUCCAGCAAUGCCGCGUGAGUGAAGAAGGCCUUCGGGUUGUAAAGCUCUUUUGUCAGGGAAGAAACGGUGAGAGCUAAUAUCUUUUGCUAAUGACGGUACCUGAAGAAUAAGCACCGGCUAACUACGUGCCAGCAGCCGCGGUAAUACGUAGGGUGCAAGCGUUAAUCGGAAUUACUGGGCGUAAAGCGUGCGCAGGCGGUUUUGUAAGUCUGAUGUGAAAUCCCCGGGCUCAACCUGGGAAUUGCAUUGGAGACUGCAAGGCUAGAAUCUGGCAGAGGGGGGUAGAAUUCCACGUGUAGCAGUGAAAUGCGUAGAUAUGUGGAGGAACACCGAUGGCGAAGGCAGCCCCCUGGGUCAAGAUUGACGCUCAUGCACGAAAGCGUGGGGAGCAAACAGGAUUAGAAACCCGUGUAGUCCCAUGAU